rnacentral:lncRNA from 1 species
GUCUGAUCUCAAAAACUAGUUCUUGAAUUUGAAAAAUGACAGGUGAAGGUUUAUGAGCUUCAUGGCUCAUUAAAUAACAGAUAUAUUAUAAAAUAAAUUUAAAUCAUGAUGAUAUGUAACUCAAAUGAAUCAUAUCGAAUGUGAUAUCAAUCUGAUUAGUAUCUAGUUAUACAAUUAAGGAUAUUCAAGAUGCAGUUUUAUGUCAAUUUUUUUAUAAUGUGGAAUUAGAAGACAAUAUAAAGGUCUAAUACACACACACACACACACAUAUAUAUACACAUAUCCAAUUUCAUAAUACUCUACUUAAGCAUGGGUACUCAUUUUUUUCGCUUUUAGUCCUUAUUGUGAUGCCAUGAUUGCCCCUAUAGCAAGGGAUCUAAGGAAAGGUCCAUACUUUUCCCCAUAGUGAGAAUCUCAAGUCCACUCUUUUUUUCAUGAUAAAAAUCUCAAGUCCGAACACCACACACAGUAGGCGAGAGACAGAUGAUAUAUAUAUCAAUAACUAUAUAGAAGUCAAAAAAAUUAUUCUCUUCGACAUAUCUUUUAUACAGCUUUGAUACAACUUAAUACAAUUAUGAUAUAUUAUAUUUCAACAGGCAAUAAUCAUUAUUCAUCAUGCUUGAUCUGAUCAUAAUAUGUAACAUCAAUCAGUUCAACUUAUAAAUCUUAAUUCACUAAUAAAUUAUAAUCAAUUAUUUAUAACUUACGUUGGGGGAAAUUUGUACUAGCCAAAAAUGCGAGGAUGCCCAAGGUCUAGAAUAGCCAAGCCCAAUUUCGAGAAGUACUAAGUUAUGGUUGACUAGUGAUCAACCUCCAUCUAAGAUAAUGCACGGCUGGUCCAUAACUUCCCAUCCUGUGGAUAGGGGAAGGUUAAUAUUGAGGAGUUGUCGUUAACCUUGAUGAGUUCCACUCGGAGUAAUCAGUGGUUCCCUCUAGGCAUGCUUGCUAGUGCCAGCCUUUGAGACUAUCAGUAGAGAACACGGACUACCCGGGGGUCGAUUCAUAGCCCGUCAUGCUUGACUGAGCAAGCAUCGGUAGACAAGCCUCGCGCUUAUCAAUUAGCCUGAUUCUAGACUAAGGGCCCCUUUUUCGAAGGGGAUAGUUGUGGCAUCCAACUCCUCUUCUGCCCUAUCCACCAAUGACUCGCUAGUAACUCAGUGACUGCCGAUACCCCUCCAUCGAUCAAUCACCGUGGAUGACCCCCUGAUGCUGCUGAUGAGAUCUCGGGUCAAUCCGAUUGAUCCGAAUGCACCGACCAAUUGGACCAUUCGAACAAUCAAGUAAAAUAUCCUAAUGACUUUCGAAAGGUAGCGAACAGAAUAUUUUGACAAACAUCUGAAAGGUGGUCAUAUGGCGCUAUGAACACCCAUGACUAAUAACUUGGUUAGUGGAUGGACAGCGGGCAGCCUACCCUGAUAGCUUAUAGUCCUAGGCCUAACGAGCUCCAGGCUCCGUCUGUAAGAAGAUAUAGAAAAGGAGACCCCAAGAUAAGCCACCACUCUAUCUCUCACACUCCUCCCUCUGUUGAAUGAGAUACUAACUUGAGCAUCGAAGGGUCCCCAUUGGAGACACCUUCGGUCAGAGCUUUUCUUACAGAUCUUGCUUCGAAAGAUCGAUCUCGACCAUCCACUUCAGCUCCUCCGACGUCAGCUGAAAUCUCACACAGCAGAUUGACGCUAAAGGAAGGGUCAUGUCCCAACUUGAAAGAAUGUAGAUCGAGGCAAAGCAAUCAUGGCAUCCAACAGAACUUCAUCUUGCCACAUCAACACCACCGUACAGCUAAAAGAGAGCCAAGUUAACCAUGCGGCUCCAUCGGUGGCUGCAAGAGACCCUCCACCUCCACAACCAAUGGUGGUGAUGGUGGAGCAGUUCAAUCUGCUCUUUCAGUAGGUUCAGACUCUGACAGCCAUUGUUCAGUCGAUCCAAGCCACUCUGACACCCCUAUCGAUGGUGUCGUCAUCUCAUCAGAUCGCUUCGGUUCCACCAUCAGCAGUCUCGCAACCAAAUUUGAUGCCACAGGCAGCAGUGCCACCGUCUAAAUAGCUGUCGAUCACUCCACAGAGUCCUAAGAGGAGGCAGACCCACCAGGGCCACCCCAAGAAUCCAGAAUCAAGCGGC